UACCAGCUCUUCGAGUGGUGUGGAUGUUUAUUGGGCCUAAAGCAUCCGUAGCUGGCUGGGCAAGUCCCCUGUUAAAUCCACCGAUUUAAUCGUUGGAGUGCGGGGGAUACUGUUCGGCUAGGGGACGGGAGAGGCAGACGGUAUUUUCGGGGUAGGGGUGAAAUCCUAUAAUCCCGGGAAGACCACCAGUGGCGAAGGCUGUCUGCUAGAACGCGCCCGACGGUGAGGGAUGAAAGCUGGGGGAGCGAACCGGAUUAGAUACCCGGGUAGUCCCAGCUGUAAGCGAUGCAGGCUAGGUGUUUGGGCGGCCACGUGCCGCUCUAGUGCCGCAGGGAAGCCGUUAAGCCUGCCGCCUGGGGAGUACGGCCGCAAGGCUAAAACUUAAAGGAAUUGGCGGGGGAGCACCACAAGGGGUGAAGCUUGCGGUUU
rnacentral:rRNA from 1 species